GCUCCUGUGGCCUAACGGAUAAGGCGUCGGUCUCCGGAGCCGAAGAUUGUGGGUUCGAGUCCCACCAGGGGCG